rnacentral:rRNA from 1 species
GACGAACGCUGGCGGCGUGCCUAACACAUGCAAGUCGAACGGGGUUAAGGAAGCUUGCUUCCUUGACUUAGUGGCGAACGGGUGAGUAACGCGUGAGAAACCUGCCUCUCAGUGGGGGACAACAGUUGGAAACGACUGCUAAUACCGCAUAAUGUAUUCGGAAGGCAUCUUCUGAAUACCAAAGCUUUAUGUGCUGAGAGAUGGUCUCGCGUCUGAUUAGCUAGAUGGCGGGGUAACGGCCCACCAUGGCGACGAUCAGUAGCCGGUCUGAGAGGAUGAACGGCCACAUUGGGACUGAGAUACGGCCCAGACUCCUACGGGAGGCAGCAGUGGGGAAUAUUGGGCAAUGGGGGGAAACCCUGACCCAGCAACGCCGCGUGAAGG